UACAGAGGUCCCGAGCGUUGUUCGGAUUCACUGGGCGUAAAGGGUGCGUAGGUGGCCUGAAAGGUUUGAUGUGAAAGCUCAGGGUUUAACCCUGAAAUGGCAUUGAAUACUGUCGGGCUGGAGGUUUGGAGGGGGGACUGGAAUUCUUGGUGUAGCAGUGAAAUGCGUAGAUAUCAAGAGGAACACCAGUGGCGAAGGCGAGUCCCUGGACAACACCUGACACUGAGGCACGAAAGCUAGGGGAGCAAACAGG
rnacentral:rRNA from 1 species